UCAGCGAAUGAUUUGGUUAAAAGUACAACAAAACUAAAGUCAGAGAGAUGAUGAGAGGCUUGCAAGAAAAGGAAGGAAGAAAGGAAAGAAAAAAAGAUGAGAGGGAGGGAAAGAAGGAGCAAGGGAGAAGAAAAGGAAAAUAAUUCCAGACAGGUUUAAAGAUUGAGCUGACCCUGUCAUCUAAAUAUGGCAACGUGUACAUAUUGAAGAUAAAUUAUUUACUCACUGGUUUUGAGGAAAUAAGCUAAAUUAUCUUCUAGUGACUCCUGACUAGCCAACUCCAGAAACAAUUCUCUUUUGAGAAAAAAUGUUUUGUGAUAAAAGAUACAUUAACUAUUUAUUGUUUUUCCCGGUUAUGGAGGUCUCAAGCUGCCUUAAAUCUCAUAGAAGAAAUUUCAGGUUGAAGUUGAUGAUUGUAUUCAGCUUCUUUGAACAUGUCAACACGGAAAUUGUCCCUGACCACACAGCUCCACCUGUUCAUGGGCUGAAGAAGCUGCUGAGAAGUGGAUUCUACAUAAUUGGGAAAUUUUCCUGGAUUUCACACCUCCGUUUCAAAGUUUCCUGUGAUGCUGGCACCAGCCUAAUGAAAUUACACUCUUCUGUGCUCAGCCUGACUCACUGAGGAGGACAGCUCCCUUCAAAGAAGGCCUUCAGGUGACCUGCAGGAAGCCCUUGGGAAAAAUGGAACUAAAGAAGACAAGGCUCACAUGGAGCUAAGUAAAAUAUGAGAGUAAUCUAUGAGUUCUGGAUAGAUAAAGUUUUUUAACUGCUAUAUGUAAACGUCAUUAUUACUAAUUACAAAUACUAAUAAAGUGGUUUCAAUGUUUUCAUUGUAUUAACCAUGAUUUCAUGCAUAUUCCCUGCAUGCCAGAUACAGUGCGCAGUGACAUAUUUUAUUUAUCCUGCAGCAACGUCAUGAGAAAGAUGCUGCUACCCUCAUCAUUUGUUUGGAUGAGAAAAUUGAAGCUCAGGAAAUUAGUAAUUGUACAAGGCCUGAGAUCCCUCUGAGUUACCACAAAAAGACUGUGUUCAAUUUUCACCUUGUAAUGUUUAAGAGGAUACAGGGGCAGUGACAGAAGAAGAGAAAUGACUCACUUCACCAUCGACAGAGCUAAACUGCUUCUUAGGACUAUUUCCUUACAUCACACAGUACCUGACAAAUUUCAAAUAAGACAAAACAUCAAGGAGAAAGGAAGAAUGAAAAAAAUCCUCUAUUAAAUAAAAUGUAAAUGUGAGAAGGGUAAGUUUGUUGUUUCUUUAAUUUCCCAGAAAGCCAAGACAUUGCUCCGUUGGUUAAGGGGAA